rnacentral:tRNA from 1 species
GCGUCGGUGGUAUAACGGUUAGCAUAGCUGCCUUCCAAGCAGUUGACCCGGGUUCGACUCCCGCCCGACGCA